rnacentral:lncRNA from 1 species
CAAAUGUUGCAUUUCGUCUGGUUCAGGCAGCCUCAGAGGUGCACGUUAGCUCAUGCUCCCCGGAGCCGUGGCAGGGCAGGGACUCCACAGUCAGGACAGGGCUCUCAGUGACUUCUGAAGCAAAUGCAGACUUUGUGUUGCUGUGGAAGAAAGAACAAUUUGGCUUUCAAAAGUAUACAGUGACAUGCCUGUGGAUAUAUAGGAGUUUCAUAGGCGAUAUAUUUAGAAAACGAGCCAAGUUUGAAUGCUUGCAGCUCUGCAUAGAAAAGCCAUUGGAUGUGCAAAUUUCUCAUGCAAAAAGUAAUGACAAGUGGUAUGUCUGAACCAAUUUCAGCUGAUUUUUAUGACAGCGUAUAUUUUUUACAUGAGCUCUAAAAGUAAGAAAUGUUUUGACAAAUGUCAUCUAAAAAUAUCCUACUAAUUUCAGAAGGGCAUAAGGGUUUUUCAUAUUUGACAGUUACAGAAACUGGUAUUCACCAAACAGAAGGUGAGCUGAGCUCUUCUUUUGUUAAUAUCAUGUAGAAUGUUUUCACUCUGCAGAGUGAAAGCCAGAGAGCAUAUUGUUACUAUGCAAUAACAAGGAAUGACUUAGACAAAGUUGGGAAUCAAAAAAACAUACCAGGAGGAAUAUUGCCUACUUGAAGAAAAAGCUUCAUGAAAUGAAUUGGCACAUGGCAGAAUAGCAAAUUUUGGCUUUCAGCCUAAAUGUGAAAUAUUGCAUUUAAACACAUUUGAUAAAUACAGGCCUGUAUCUACUGCCACAAAUGUCAUGUUGUGUACAGGCCAUGUGCAACAACCUGUUUGUGUCACUGCAGGAAGGCUGAAGAAGUAUCCAUUUGCGAUUACACAAUUCCACAGCACAAACAAACCAAGCUCCUUAUUUUCAAUUUGCAAACGCCUGUACACUUAAAAGCUGCCCCUGUAGCACUUAACAUUUUAAGCCUCUCCUGCUUUAAGUACUGCACUUAUUUUUAGUGAGGUGACGAUGAAUCUUACCUAGGCAUUCUCAUCAAAUGACAGCCUGCACACCUGCUGUAAUCCAGGAGAUUGCAACAAUCAGAAAUUGCUAAUCAAGCCCUAAGUCAUGCCUUGAAAGUGCUUGUUAGAGAUUGCUGUGGGAAGGGUGUUCCCGUGUGUCAUUUGAGUACAGGAAGCACCAGGAUUCUCUGCUCAGUAGAAGAUUGCCACCUGUAUCUUGCCUGCGACAGCAAGAUUUAUUCUGCCUGAAGAUUUAGGUCACCGAAACUGGACUGAAAGAAGACUUCAGUAACUUUCAGCCCAUUUUCCUGCCUACUUUCCUUCCUCAUUAUUUAGUAGGAUUUUACCUAAUGACCAACUUUUCAUAAGAAAUUUAUUUUCUUAUGCUUCCUCCAUACAGCAAAGUUAAACCACGGUGUCAGAUGUACUGAAGACUUAGACUGAUCCUUCCUACGCAUCAGUUUUAUAUUAGUUUUAAGUAGGCUUGUCCUAGUAAGUUCAUUUUAAUUUACUUUAGUUUUAGGCUAGCUCAAAUAAAGAUGUAUUUGGCUGCAGAGUUUUCAAAGGCUGCAUUUUGAUCUGCCAGAUGGUUUUGAAGGAGCAGAGCUCAGCUGUAGUUCUCCAUCUAUACGUAGGAAGAACAGAUGAUGCCACAUGAACAAGAAACAUGCUUCCAUGCAUUAAACAUUCAAAUAAGAAAGUUGACCCCCCACUCCAGGCCCCUUUGUUAGUGUGCCCAACAGAUUCAAAUUUGUCAGAUUAGUCCUGUCUGUUGUAAUAUAUAUCUACUAUCCAGUUCUAAUCUUCAGGAGCUAAAGCGGUGGUAGGAUUCUUCUAAGGAACUACUGCCUGGUCUUGGACAGCAAAACCUAACUGGCCUGUGAGAGUACUUGUGUCUGGACCCUAAAUACUUUUGAGUGCUCUUAGAAAAAGAACUGGAGUGAAACAUUCGAUAACUAAAUUCAGUGGCAAAUUUCUCAGCCAACUCAAGGGUCUGGAUUUUCCAUUCUCUGCAUGGUGGGAGUGAGCACCUUGCUGUUGUGCGUACCUGUGUCAUGAUUUUCAGUAGUUGCAUUUUUUUUUUCUAUAGUUUAAAACCACUGUUUGACAGGAAUGGUAGUGAUUGGAGAAGUUCUAUAGACUCUCAAUGCUUUGAGACGUUAAUGAAAUAGUUUUCUAGGAUGAGAGACUGUCGUAAGCACUUGCGGAAAGGAAAAAAAAGACUUCUGUCUCCCAUAAGAAUGUAUGGAAUUCUGUAAGGUAGUAGAAACGUAUUCCUCAGUAUUCAACUGCAGUUUGGAGAAAAGUCUCAUGUUUUGUCAUAACACUUUUCAUCUGACUAGAAACAAACUGGGAAAUAAACUCUUAGGGAAAAAAUACGUUAUCUCAGUACCUGAAUAUGUACAAUUCCCGUUUGUUAUUUCAUUUAUUUAUUGUUUCAUCACUAAACUUUUAAUCUAUAAAGUUUAAUAUGUAAUAUACAAGAGUAAAAUGUACAGAAGUACCUGUAGAUGUAAUAAUUUAAACCACCUGUAUUCAGAAAGCAGAGAUAACAAGUUUAAAGAUAUACAGACAAUUGCAAUUCAACUUUAGCUGAAUUUCUCGGUGUCUAGGAAAAGAAGUGGCUUUGCUUAAGUGAAUUUUAAUGAUUGUGAAAAUACCUUUUUUUUAGUUUGUUCUUGUUCCUUUUUUUAAUUAAAUUUAUUUUGUAAAUAUUGUUUUCUAUGUUUUCUACCUUAGAAAGGCCACUAAUUCGCAUUGGCAGCAGCAGAUAGUCAACAGGUCAUUAAAAAGGUACUUACAGGGCACUGAUGGGCACGUGGUCAGUAGUCAGAUUCAUUCUGCUGGAUGACUGCGCCUGUUGUUUCUGCAGCCACACGGGUGUCACGGGAAGAGUUUUCUGGGACAGCUUAACCUGCUAGUUUUCACUGAAUUGACUAUGAAGUGUCAUUCGGAAGUGCUUACCAUUUUCAAAACAUAUAAAGAGUAUGUAUUUUAAAGUUAGUGCUAGUUCUUACUAGAAUGAGAAACAACACAAAAUUCGGGAAAAAAAGGGGAAUUCAGAAAUUAUGCCCCAGUAUAGCACAAAGAUAAGGAAAGGCGUGGUGUCUCUGCACUGUAGGUAGCCGUGGAAGUGAUAAAUGCACAUACUGGAUCAGAUCAUAGAGCCUUUUCUAGGCAAAACUGCCACUGAGAUCUGUGGGAGUUUUACCUGCAUUAGGUUCACCGUGAUCUUAUCCAUUGCCUAUUAAAUAGGAAUUUCUGGUAGACUAGAUCUUGGGAAAAAUACCCAGAUAUGUAAUAUUGGUUACUGUACCAAUUGGCUAAGUCUGAAUAGUGGGCAUGAGUGACAUUUUGAACGAAACCCUUGUAGAUGCUGCUGGGACUUCUAAGCUUUAUUAUCGAUGUAAAUUAUGUACAAACAGCUAUUUCCAUAUGAAAUGUAUCAUGGUAGUUUAGAGCAAAGAUAGUGAAUAACUGUACAAAAUUUGAUACUUAGAAAAUAAAAUACUGUGAUCUAAGCUUUACCAAUAUUUUAAAAAUACUGUCAGAUUCGUAGUAGAAAAUGUUGUUGUAAAUGUACCUUAUAAGAAAAUACACUUCCUUUUACCUCUGUAUAUUAAUAGCUUUGUUUUCUAUGUCAAAGCUCAAAACGAAGCAUGUAAUAAAACUUUUGUUAAAAUCACUUUCAUAAUAAACAUAAAAUGGAAUG